GCAGGGGUCGCAAAGGGCUGC
rnacentral:miRNA from 1 species